UAAGCUUGCAAAAAGAGAAAAGUGCUGAGCAUUUAAUCUUGUUCUCUCUGGAAUCAUUGUAGAAAUUCUGGAGUUUAGCUGGAGUAAAAACACUCUGUGAGAAGGCCCAUCUACUCUUUCAAACUGUCAUCAAUGCUGCCUGUUUCACUGCACUGGAGGAAUAUGGAAACUUGGGGUUUCAUGUGGAAGCAAACUUUUGUAUUUUGGAACCCUAUCUGGUAUGAGCAAAAUAUGGGAAACGUGUAGCAGUCUUAAAAGAAUUCAGUUACAGUAAGAAAAGAUGCCUGGAAAGGAGAGAGAAAUGCCACAAAUGCAGCUCUGAAAGGCUGCCCCUUGGGACCACCCUAAGAAAAAGAAAAUUCGAAGUUCCCCAGCACAGGAAAAGCUUCAAUCAACCAUAAGGGAAAAAGAGAAAAUACGAAGUUCACCGAAUAGGAAAAGCUUCAAUCAGCCAUGAGGCAAAAUCCAUAGGAAACCAGACUUCAUUAGCUCCACAACUCACAGAACUUGUUACGAUUCAGCUUGCUUAGCAACUUCAACUUUUAGACAACUCUUUUUCUUUGAUAUGUCACCUCAAGCUUAACAGGCUAUUAGAUCUCCCGCUUUUUAUCUGUGUAAGGCUACAGUGGAAAAAAACCCACAAAACAAACCACAAAGAAAUGCUCCCAGGAUGAUUCUCUUUCUGUGUGUAUGUGCAUAUAUGUGCCACGAGAGGAGGAGGGGGGAAGGAAAGGAAAACAGAAGAACGGAAAUUCCCCAUUUUCGCAACUCUGCGGGCUCCUCCGACAUUUGUGGGUGCUUAACGCCAUCGAAAACGAGGGCACUUGGGGAUAAUGAGGUAAUUCUGGAGUCAGGCAGGGAACAGCGGAUCUGUCAUGGAGCUUAAUGUGGGAGGAAAACAAAGAAGAUUUACACAGCGGGUUUAUCGCUCUAGCAGCAGCAGUGGAGUCUCUGAAUCUGAGGCUGUGCCUUUUGUGCAUCUCUGUCCAAGAUACCUCUGAGCUGCUUGGGAAAGCAAGUUUGUCUAUGCAGAGCUUUGAGCAACGAGCCCAUUUCCAGGUGCCAAAUAGCAGCAUCCCUGCCUGUUACUGCAGCUGCUAUGUGUAAGUGCCCUUCAGAGCACAAGUAAAAAUCCUUGUUUUGUUCUUUGUUGGUAUUGAAUUUCUAGGCUACAGGCACACACAGAAAGGAUUGGCCCUAGAAAAAAAUAUAAGUGGUUAAGCAUUUGUCUGAAUGUUAAUCAGAAUGAUUCUCAUGACCAUAUGUCCCCAAGGACCCAGGGCUCCACCAAUUAGUACUCAUCAUUCAUACACUGUACUUGGGCUGGAUGUCAGGAAAGAAGCAAUAACCUCAGCCAAGACCAAACCAAGAUACUAUCUAUACUGUGUCUCAUGAGUAAAAAAGGAAUGGGAAUUUGAAUUGAUGUUGUGCCACAUGAGGGCACCCUGCAGGUGGUGAAGCUCUGCAGGGUGGCAAGAGUUGAAGCAGGCAAUCUUAUAGGGUGAAGGUUUCUGCAGGCUGCCCCAGCUGGGUGCAUGUGGGCUUUGGGGAGUCAGGUGGUGACAUUUCUGUCCAUCCAUGUAUGGCUUUUAACGUGGGUAACCAGUUAUUAAUUUCUCCUCGUUGAGGUGAGUAUGGCCUCGGUCGUAGCAGCAGAGGGAGGUCUGCAGUUACGCUUCUGAGCAGUAUCAGACAUCACAGCACUCUGCCACCAUGCAGUCUGAGCCAUGAAUAAGGCAAGGUUAAUCUGAAGGACUGCUGAGCACAAACUUACUGCCUUCAAAGAAACCAGACAAUGACAGCCACAAAAGCAGAAAAACUCAAAGCCACACAUCCUUUAGCAUUUCCUGCUCUGUAUUUGAUGAAGGAGGGAGGCAGAGUUCAUACAACGCAUGACUUCCUACCCUGCAGAUCCUGAGAUCUAAGUGGCAGCAAUCCUCUCUAGGUACACAGUUUGCUUUCACAUUUCACAUUUUCACAUUUACACAAAGAGAAAUGCCUUAUAUUCAGCCUGUUUGCUAUGCAAUCCACUAGCUACACGUUUGUAAUGUCAUUGAAAAGUGCACAUAAUCCAAAUAGAAAAUGUAACUUUUUAAAUAUAUAGAACUGAUUUUUAUUUGACUCUUCAUUAAUCA